CUGGCAUCUUUGGUGUCCGAGUUGUAAUUUGAAGAAAGUAACUUUUGGAAUGAGCCUUGCAUAAGUUCCUUGGAAUAGGACGUCAUAGAGGGUGAGAAUCCCGUUUAUGGUGAGGUAUUCAUUUCCUAUGUAAAGUGCUUUCGAAGAGUCGAGUUGUUUGGGAAUGCAGCUCUAAGUGGGUGGUAAAUUCCAUCUAAAGCUAAAUAUUGGCGAGAGACCGAUAGCGAACAAGUACAGUGAUGGAAAGAUGAAAAGAACUUUGAAAAGAGAGUGAAAAAGUACGUGAAAUUGUUGAAAGGGAAGGGCUUGAAAUCAGACUUGGUAUUCAGUGAUCAGCAAUCUCUCGGGGUUGUGCACUUGCUGUUUACUGGGCCAACAUCGGUUUUGACGGUGAGAUAAUGGCUUUUGAAUGUGGCUUUCCUUCGGGGGAGUGUUUAUAGCUUAAGUUGAUAUCACCAGUCGGGACCGACGGCAUUUUUGUCAUUUGUUGUUGGCGUAAUGAUUUUAAGCCACCCGUCUUGA
rnacentral:rRNA from 1 species